UAAGGAAUAUUGGACAAUGGCCGCAAGGCUGAUCCAGCCAUGCCGCGUGCAGGAUGAAGGUGCUCUGCAUCGUAAACUGCUUUUAUCUGGGAAUAAACCCCUCUACGUGUAGAGGGCUGAAUGUACCAGAAGAAUAAGGAUCGGCUAACUUCGUGCCAGCAGCCGCGGUAAUACGAAGGAUCCAAGCGUUAUCCGGAUUUAUUGGGUUUAAAGGGUGCGUAGGCGGCUUAUUAAGUCAGUGGUGAAAGCCUGAAGCUCAACUUCAGAAUUGCCAUUGAUACUGAUGAGCUUGAGUAUAGUUGAGGUGGGCGGAAUGUGUCAUGUAGCGGUGAAAUGCUUAGAUAUGACACAGAACACCGAUUGCGAAGGCAGCUCACUAAGCUAUAACUGACGCUGAUGCACGAAAGCGUGGGGAGCAAACAGGAUUAGAUACCCUGGUAGUCCACGCCCUAAACGAUGAUCACUCGAUGUGUGCGAUAUACUGUACGCGUCCAAGCGAAAGCAUUAAGUGAUCCACCUGGGGAGUACGACCGCAAGGUUG
rnacentral:rRNA from 1 species